rnacentral:misc_RNA from 1 species
AACAUCGCGCACCUGCGGGAACCUGCGGAAGGAUCAUUACAGAGUACUAUACUCAUAACCCUUUGUGAACCUUUAUAACUUGUUGCUUCGGCGGCGCGAGCCCCUCGGGGAGCGUGCCCGCCGGCGUCAUCAGAAUCUCUGUUCGAACCCGACGAUACUUCUGAGUGUUCUAAGCGAACUGUUAAAACUUUCAGCAAUGGAUCU